UUGACCUCGGAUCAGGUAGGAAUACCCGCUGAACUUAAGCAUAUCAAGGGCCCGAAGGAA
rnacentral:rRNA from 1 species